GGAGACUGAAGAGAGUUUGAAUGUUGCCUGCUGGUGAGGACAUUUGGAGUGCAAGCCUAGAAUCCAGGAUCAUCUCUCAUAUUACUUCUCACCAACGUCUUCAGUUCUUUUGUCCUCGUUAUUUCUGCUGCCUCAGACUAAGAAUGUGCCAAACCAACUCUCUCCCUUCCGCUCUCCUACAUCCAGGCCUAGGGGAUCCCUUGGAGGAAACACACAGCAGGAAGUCCAUGUUCCUGCAAUUCCCAUCUUCUACGUGAGCCAGGUAAUCCUUCUGUGUGAUUGUGAUUAAUUCCUUCUCCCAUUUCUUAUGAGGUUUCCUCAAGCACUACCUUCUACUCAUAUCCUUUUGGUACUGCCGUCCCCAUCAAUCCCAGGUGAUGACUUUCUUUCUAGUUUCAUAGGGGAAAAUCACUGACGUCAACCUCUACUUCCUGUCCUCCAGGAGAACACAUUGAUCUGCAUCCAUUUGGACCCUUUCCUCCUUCCUUCCCACUUCUCUAGAAGAGACGUCCUGAUCCUAGCACCUUCAGAUUCCCAAGGACCUUGCUCCAUUUUCUAUUCCAACCACUCUUUCUCUGCUUUCUCCCUCCCAGCACUCUCACUUGAUUUCUCUCUUCAUCCCUGCACAGCCACCAUUCUUGAAUUCAGUCUCUGUUUACUGACUCCGUUGUGUUACUUUCCAUUUACUAUUCAGGUCACAGCUCCUGGAAUUCUCCAGCACUCCAUGCCUCCACCGAAAAAUGUUCUCAACAAAGUCACCAGUUGUAGUUGCAUUGCUAAAU
rnacentral:lncRNA from 1 species